rnacentral:rRNA from 1 species
UCCCGUUGAUCCUGCGGGAGUAUGCUGCUAUUGGGAUUCGAUUUAGCCAUGCAAGUCUAGGGGGUGUUUACAUCCCCGGCGAAAUGCUCAGUAACACGUCGAUAACUUACCCUUAGGUCCGGGAUAAUCUCGGGAAACUGAGGACAAUACCGGAUAGAAGAUUAUUUCUGGAAUGAAAUUUCUUUUAAAGGUAACGCCUAAGGAUAGGUCGGCGGCUGAUUAGGUUGUUGGAGAGGUAAUGGCUCACCAAGCCUUAGAUCAGUAGGGGCCGUGAGAGCGGGAGCCCCGAGAAGGACACUGAGAUACUGGUCCUAGCCCUACGGGGUGCAGCAGGCGCGAAACCUUUACAAUGCACGAAAGUGUGAUAAGGGAAUCCCAAGUGCUCAUGCAUUGCAUGGGCUUUUGUCAAGGGUAAAUAUCUUGACGAAUAAGUGGUGGGAAAGACUGGUGCCAGCAGCCGCGGUAACACCAGCGCCACAAGUGGCAUACAUUUUUAUUGGGCCUAAAGCGUCCGUAGCUGGUUUGGUAAAUCUUUUGUGAAAUCAUGGGGCUUAACUCCAUGGCGUGCAGAAGAGACUGCCAGACUUGGAACCGGGAGGAGUCAGAGGUAUUCUGGGGGAAGCGGUAAAAUGCUGUAAUCCUCGGAGGACCACCUGUGGCGAAGGCGUCUGACUAGAACGGAUUCGACAGUGAGGGACGAAGGCCGGGGGAGCGAACCGGAUUAGAUACCCGAGUAGUCCUGGCAGUAAACGCUGCGAGCUAGGUGUUGCAUAUCCUAUUAGGGUAUGCAGUGUCGAAGCGAAGGUGUUAAGCUCGCCGCCUGGGAAGUAUAGUCGCAAGACCGAAACUUAAAGGAAUUGGCGGGGGAGCACCACAAGGGGUGCGGCGUGCGGUUUAAUCUAAUUCCACGCAGAAAAUCUCACCAGCAGCGACGGCAGAAUGAAAGUCAGUCUGAAGGGCUUACUUGACGAGCCGAGAGGUAGUGCAUGGCCGCCGUCAGCUCGUGCCGUAAGGUGUCCUGUUAAGUCAGGCAACGAGCGAGACCUGUGCUUACAAUUGCUAGCGUCUAAUUUUAGGAACGAGCACAUUGUGAGGACUGCCCUGGAAACAGGGAGGAAGGUGCAGGCUACGGUAGGUCUGUAUGCUCCGAAUCUGCUGGGCUACACGCGCGCAACAAUGGUUGGGACAAUGGCUGCAACCCCGAGAGGGGAAGCUAAUCCUCUAAACCCUAUCCAAGUCCAGAUUGAGGGCUGCAACUCGCCCUCAUGACGAUGGAAUCCCUAGUAAUCGGAGUUCAACACGCUCCGGUGAAUACGUCCCUGCUCCUUGCACACACCGCCCGUCAAACCAACCGAGCAGGGUUUAGAUGAGCCUUAUCUUUUUGGGUCAGUCGAAUCUAAGCUCAGUGAGGUGGGUUAAGUCGUCACAAGGUC